rnacentral:lncRNA from 1 species
UCAUUCUAUUCCUCGAGAAAAAGGGAUGGAGUAGGUGCGUAUACUAUACUCGUAUACUCCCAUACUUAAAAAACAUAUUCAAACAAUGCGAUGUCUCGUCAAGAUCAAGAAAAUGCUUUCGACAAGAAAACGCUUUCGACAAGGAAAACUCUCGUAGAAAUAUGCGGAAAAAUAUUCAUACAAUGCGAUGUCUCGUCAAGAUCUUCCUAAAAGCAAACGACAAUCUGAGAUUCGUCUAAACGCUAGGAACUGAUCCAAACCAUGUUGGAAAAAUUCUCAAAGAAUAUACAGUAUCUAUCAUCGCAAUCAUUCGUUUAGAAAACCUCUGCCAAACUUCAGAAUGAAAGUCGAUGAUUUGAUGAAGUCAUAAAGAUCUUUUCCGAUUUGAUAAAACGAGUUUCGUAUAAGAAUCAUUAUACGAGAAAUCUACAGGCAUCAAAGCAUCACUCUCAUUUUCAGUUGAACCAACCGACUCACGUAAAAACAUCAAAAACAUUUGCGACAAAGCAAAAUCAAGAACAAAAGUAACAGAAAACACGACAAAGAGAACACGUCCUCCCCGCUCAUCGACUAAGUCUAUCGCUGUUUAACUGAUUCAUUCAAGAAACCUGCAAAAAUGUUUCGCGACUAGAUCUAGGUGAAAUAACCUUUGGUAAAACUCCAUGAGUGACUCAGAGAAUCUUUCACCGAAGAAUAAAAACAAAAUCGAAAACGUUUCUCAAAAAUCUGCGGAAACAUCGUUAUUUUGACAUCUCCAUAUGUCGCAUCAAUUUAAUAAAUUCGUAAAAACCGGUCGCCCGUUACUUACGCAAAAAAUCCUUCGUAUAAUCAGAUCAUGUUAUACGAAGUAACUUUCAAAAGUCAACAUAAUAGGUUUUACAAAAAAGUACUUUCCUUAUAGCAAAAAACCAAGCUGUAUGAUCCGACAUUGGACGAUAAUUUUAACUUUACUUCCUCGCACCACGAUCUGAAAGGUCUCAUUCUUUAGCCCUUGCGACUCACUGGCAUCCGCUCUCAUUCUGCUUGGUCACGUCCAAGCAGGAAAUCACCCCGCAAUUGACUCCGCACGGGCUCUGUAUCGAGCUUCUUAGGCUUUAUCUCCCUC